GGCCCAUGCGAUGGCAUCCAGCCCGCGCGGCGACGGCCCCCCGACUGUGCCCCAAUAAUACAUGUGCUGCAUAUGCUUUAUUUCCACGGAUUGCCCAUGGUGAAGUGAGUGAGGAAAUUGGCCCACCCAAACUUACCAUGGCCAACUUGACUCUGCCGAGAACUUCAAAAGGGUUGCUGUCAAAUUCGAGAACCAGGUGUUCCAUGAGGCUAACAGUAAGGUAAUCUUUUUUACCCUCUGGAAAAUAGAGUUAAUAUCCAAUUUGAUCCUAAUACAGUAGGAUCAGAGUUAUUUUGGAAUGUGAAGUAAAGUCAGCCUGAAGAUUUAUCCUAUGACAACUUAACUGAAUACCUAAUUAAUAGAAAGCCAAUAAAAGUGCUUCGUUGGAUCUUUGUUCGAUGUCACAUUCGAUCUGUAUUGUGUACAUUACUUGCGAGAUGCCAGCAGUUGAGAAAGGAAGCCUCAUGCAGCCCAUGCUAGACCAUGAUAGAUGCAGGCAGACUGCUGGUUUCUUUGGAAAGGCUUUUAUUUUUCUGCCUGUCACUGACCAUCACAAACUUGUGAGCACGCGCACACUACAAAUUUUAAAUUUCUGCAACUCAAACUAGCAUCAGUAAGGUAGAUUCAGCUCAUAAAGCCGGUGUACCAUAUAACUCUGGACAACUUAAUGCUUCAGUUGCUAAAGAUAGCACUUGCACCAAGUUUAAUUUGGAGGAUGCAAAGCAUGCAUUCGGAAAUUGGUUGAUCAGUUAUAUCUUUUAUUUUGGGUUUUUAUUUUUACCGUUUACACUUAGAUUAGAUCAGAGUAUCAGACAACAUUUUGCUGUUUUGCUGGUCCAAAUAUAGAUUUUCUAUGAGUGAUCAGUUAUAUCUUUUAUUUUGGGUUUUUAUCUUUACGGUUUACACUUAGAUCAGAGUAUCAGACAAUAUUUUGCUAUUUUGCUGGUCCAAAUAUAGAUUUUGUAUGAGUCGUAGCUUGUAGGAAAACUAACUGGAGUUCAUAUCACAAUUCAUGUUGUGUCUACUCAGUAGGAAUAUUCAAAGUAACUAUGUUUUUGUCUUAUUGGAUAUCCAUGGAAGCAUCCUACUUUCUAUUAUCAUAAAAUUUGUCUUAAGAGAAGGUCCAGUUCAUAACAGAUAUUAAUAAUUCAUUUAGUUAGUUUGUAAGUAUGUUGCACCCUUACUUAGAGUUGUUGUUCUAACCUGACAGAUGCAUGCUCUGAACUAAUUCUUCUUGCCCCUCUGCUACUCCUAAUAACUAUAUGUUACAUCUUCUUUGUGUGAAACAUUUAUUUCUUAUUUUAGACUAUA